rnacentral:rRNA from 1 species
CACGUAGGGGGCGAGCGUUGUCCGGAUUUAUUGGGCGUAAAGAGCUCGUAGGCGGCUCGGUAAGUCGGGUGUGAAAUUUCGAGGCUUAACCUCGAAACGCCACCCGAUACUGCUGUGGCUAGAGUCCGGUAGGGGAGCGUGGAAUUCCUGGUGUAGCGGUGAAAUGCGCAGAUAUCAGGAGGAACACCAGCGGCGAAGGCGGCGACCUGGACAGUUACUGACACUCAACUACGAAAGCGUGGGGAGCAAACGGG